CAUGCAUCCGUCUCCAUUUUCAACAGGCAAAGCGCCGCGACAGGAGCACCAAGCCGCCCUCGUCAGCAGCCGUGCGGUAGCAGCGAGUGCUCUACAUGCAAAGCAGCGAAAUUAAUCUGCGGAAAUAAGUGGAUAUUUACGCACUGCUUACGUAACUUUACUGGACUAUUUAUUCUACUGUUGUUAUAUUUUUUUCUUCUAUCCACCCUAAGUUUUUUUUAAAUUGCACAAUUCGCAUUUUGCAUUUUUUACUGAUUUAAACUAAAAAUGGAGAAUCAAGAAAGCAAGUACCUCCCGGAGCUCCUCGCAGAGAAGGACAGUCUGGACGUGUCAUUUACGCACGCGAUGAAACUUUUAUCUGCAGAAAUUGAGAGAAUCCAGAAAGGUGAGCCCAAAAAGGAAGGAGGAGACACGUACCUGGACCUUUUCACUGUCAAGAAUAUCAAACUGAAGGAACGCGUGCUCAUACCUGUCAAACAGUAUCCAAGGUUCAACUUUGUGGGAAAGAUCCUUGGCCCUCAGGGCAACACAAUCAAACGCCUUCAGGAGGAGACUGGGGCCAAGAUCUCUGUACUGGGUAAAGGUUCCAUGAGGGACAAAGCCAAGGAGGAGGGUCUGAGGAAAGGUGGUGAGCCCAAGUACGCGCACCUGGCUAUGGAGCUGCAUGUCUUCAUCGAGGUGUUUGCCCCCGUGCCCGAGGCUUACCUACGCAUGGCACACGCCAUGGAGGAAGUCAAGAAGUUCCUCUUUCCUGACAUGAUGGAUGACAUCUGUCAGGAACAGUUCAUGGAGAUGGGUUAUCUGAACGGGGGCCAGGAUCACGGGCCAGGUGCCCCACGAGGCAGAGGAGGACCACCGGGCCCUAGGGGCCGAGGAGGACCACCGGGACAACGAGGAGCACCCAGGGGUAGAGGUAUGCCCCCACGUGGAGGAGGUGCACCCCGCGGCGGGCCAGCCAGAGGCGGGGUAGUGAGGGGGGCACCGGCAGGAAGAGGGGGACCUCCAGCCGCCCCCGCCAGAGGGGCAGCAGCGCCCCGAGCCAGACCCCCUGCCCCUGGGGGACCACCGAGGAUGCCCCCUCCACCCCUCCACCAACACCAGAACCAACAGCACCAACACGCACCUGAACAAUAUGAGGAAUAUGCCUAUGAUGAGAGCUACACAGAGCCAGCGUACGAGUCAUACGACAAUUACUACAGUCAACCACAGGCAGAGCCAGAGUACUAUGAAUAUGGACACGGAGAAGCACAGGAGACAUAUGAACCCUACGCCCAGGACGUCUGGAACGGGGCCCAGAGAGUGGCACCGGGGGGAAAGGUCCCACCUUCCAGAGCGGCUAAGGGCCCUUACCGAGAACACCCCUAUAGACAAUACUGAACUCACCAUGACAACGCCUAGCGACCAACGCUACUACCGUUAACGAGUUGCCCUGACAACCAACCACCAACCUGUCUACCACGGCAACUUUCCCUCUAAGCAACCUUCGAAAAAAGUCCAACUGUUAGUCAGUCAUGGACCAAUCAGAGGGUGGUUUACUGGAGAGAUGACCAAUCAGAGGUCGGCUUACUGGAGAGAUUACCAAUCAGAGGUCGUCUUACUGGAGAGAUGAGACCUUACGCACCUCAGUGAGGUGGUGCAGGAGCAGCAGGGUUCUACAUGACAGAGCUCUGGAUCUCCAUCAGGCUCCACAGUGAAGGACUGACCCAGUAGAGGGCACCAAUACUGGGGGAGAGCAGUCCUGAAGGAGGGCAGGCUGCCAAGAGGACCAGAGAGCAGAUGUAGCCUACAGGGGAGAGAGAAGAGGAGGAGUGAUUCUAGCUACAGGCUAGCCAAACUGUGAGGCUCUGGAUCAGCAUCUGAAUGAGGGGAGAAGAUUCUGGAAUGUGGAUUAUGACACUAACUGUGAAGCUAUGACGCUAACUGUGAAGCUAUGACGCUAACUGUGAAGCUAUGACGCUAACUGUGAAGCUAUGACACUAACUGUGAAGCUAUGACGCUAACUGUGAAGCUAUGACGCUAACUGUGAAGCUAUGACGCUAACUGUGAAGCUAUGACGCUAACUGUGAAGCUAUGACACUAACUGUGAAGCUAUGAUGCUAACUGUGAAGCUAUGACGCUAACUGUGAAGCUAUGACACUAACUGUGAAGCUAUGACGCUAACUGUGAAGCUAUGACGCUAACUGUGAAGCUAUGACGCUAACUGUGAAGCUAUGACGCUAACUGUGAAGCUAUGACGCUAACUGUGAAGCUAUGACCCUAACUGUGAAGCUAUGCUUGUGAUGUCUGUAUGUUUUACUGUGGAGUUUUGAUACUGUACUGCUUAUUCACUGCUAGCACCUUUGAUACUGAGCACUUUUAUAUUGGUUUCUAAUGUGAACAGUUUCCAAGACACGUUACAGUUUCUAGGAAGUGAAACUUCAUUGUUAUGGAAAUGUGCUAUGAAAAUGACCAUCCAGGCUGUAACCAGCUGUGAAAUUGGUUUUAAUUUCCCUUUAAUUGCUUGUCUUAUCCUUUCUUUGAGAUUGAAUCUGUAUCUGUUCUGCUCGAGUCCUCUGCUGCUCGUCACGUCGUUCACACACUGAAUAUCACACACACACACACACACACACACACACACACACACACACACACACACACACACACACACACACACACACACACACACACGCUCCUGCCUCUCCUAUUCCCCCUGAAACCCUC